GACGAACGCUGGAGGCGUGCUUAACACAUGCAAGUCGAACGAUGAAAUGGAGCUUGCUCCAUGGAUUAGUGGCGAACGGGUGAGUAACACGUGAAUAACCUGCCCUUAAUUUUGGAAUAACCCAGGGAAACCUGGGCUAAUACCGGAUAAGUAAACCUGUGGCAUCACAUGGUUUUGGAAAGUUUUUCGAUUAAGGAUGGAUUCGCGGCCUAUCAGCUUGUUGGUGAGGUAAUGGCUCACCAAGGCGACGACGGGUAGCCGGCCUGAGAGGGUGAACGGCCACACUGGGACGGAGACACGGCCCAGACCCCUACGGGAGGCAGCAGUGGUGAAUAGUGCGCAAUGGACGAAAGUCUGACGCAGCGACGCCUCGUGAGGGACGAAGGUCUUCGGAUUGUAAACCUCUUUCAGCAGGGACGAAGCGAAAGUGACGGUACCUGCAGAAGAGGCACCGGCUAACUAUGUGCCAGCCGCCGCCGUAA
rnacentral:rRNA from 1 species